GCAUGGCUGUCGUCAGCUCGUGUCGUGAGAUGUUCGGUUAAGUCCGCUAACGAGCGCAACCCUCGUCGUAUGUUAUAUGUGUCAUACGAGACUGCCGGUAAAAGCCGGAGGAAGGUGAGGAUGAUGUCAAGUCAGCAUGACCUUUAUAUCCAGGGCUACACACACGCUACAAUGGUCUGUACAAUGGGUAGCCAAGCCGCGAGGCGGAGCCAAUCCUGAAAGCAGGCCUCAGUUCAGAUUGCAGUCUGCAACUCGACUGCAUGAAGUCCGGAGUUGCUAGUAACCGCAGGUCAGCAAUACUGCGGUGAAUACGUUCCCGGGUCUU
rnacentral:rRNA from 1 species